ensembl:lncRNA
CCCAGCUGUCUUGGGCAGGGGCAAUUCUCGGCUCCUUCCUCCCACAGCUGGCCUGCUCCAGUUGAAGUCACGGAUCCCUUCUCUACUUCCCCGGGUGAAUCAGUGGGGAGCACAUGAUCUGAAAUGCUCUUUCCUGGGACCUUGACUCUGGCAAGGACAAGGGAGUGGUUUCUGGCCAUUCUUCUCGUGGCAAUAUCAGUUGUGAAACCAUCCGUAGCCUCCUCACCUCUGUCUGGUAAAGCCUCUCCUGAAGGACACUAGGAGAAUCUAGCUGGGGGCUUGUGCAAACCAGUUGCGCCUGCUACUCCCUAGUACUGCCUUUUCGGCAAGCACCAUCCCGGGUGUCAUCACUCUCCGUGGGGAGGACCCCUCCUACCCGCCGUCCAGGGCCGCAAGAAUCCCCUGCCCAAGGACCAAGCCUGUGGUGGCUGCAGCAGAACCACGUGGACGCUCAGGUGCCCAAGUGCUUGGCUCCAGGGACAGCUGGCCAGAGAGGUGUCUCACACAUGGAUAAACUAAGGACGCCUCUUGUUGUACUUGUCCUCGUACCUUCUUCCAGAAACAAGUUCCCUUUUUUAUUAAGGGAACUCUUGAUGCUCAGUCCACGUACUUUGGAUUCCAGACUGGACACAUGAUCCAGGCCUGGCCAAUCAGAACAUUCCAUUUCCCCAGUCAUAGUGAUUGGUUCAGAGAUGGGGGUGUAACCCAAACCAAGCCAAUGAACGUCAGCCUCAGGAUUUUUGCUGGCGCUGAUGCAGAAGACAGUGCUGUCUCUUUGCUGGAGCUGCUCCACGCAGAGCUAUGCCCGGAGCUGCUGCUUGACUUUCUCCGGGCAAAGAGCAAGCCUGCCUGAGAACGAAGCUAAGACAAAAGGAAAGUAGAGCCGAGAACUGGAGACUGGUUUCUGAUGACAUUGUUUAAACUGGAUUCAACCACUCCCGGCCUUUUUAGUUAAAUGAACCAAAAAUUUCUCUUUUUGCUUUGGCUGGUUUGUAGUGGCAAGAUUCCACUGCUACCCAGAGUUGGUGGAGCCAAGCUUCCCAUCAGAUUCUCUGAAUUUCUCCUGGAGACUUAAUUUCUGCCCCGCCCCCUGCUGUGUGCUCGAACCCUCUUAGGCUUUCCCAGCUGCCCGAGGCAGUCUGUGGGGCUGGCCUGCUGGCUCUCCCCCUCCCUCACUCUCCUCGGCCUCGGCCUCGCCUCCGCCUCUCAGGGUGUGUGUAAUCCCAGAUUCCAGCCCCUGAUGAUCCAAGCCUGCGGCCAUUAAGCCCUGUGCCCAUUUAUGACUGAAAUGGGGUCCAAGACACGACCGUUUUUGUUCUUUCACCUUUAUUGAGCACUUCCUGCAUGCCAGACUGGCUGCCAAGUGCAUUACUUGCAUAACCUCAUCUAUUUCUCUCAAUAACCCCCUCUGGUAGGUUUUAUGAUUAUUAUUCUCGUUGUCAAGAAGAGAAAGCAGUGGCUUAGCGAGAUGAAGUAACUGGCCUACAGUCAAAGAGCUGAGCCACAUGCAGGUCGAGGCACGGCCGGGAUUCAUCGUGGAGGGCUGGACUGCUGCGCCUGCGCGGCUCGUCGGAGGGAGAAGCAGGAACACCUGGGGCACUGGUGCCCAUUCCAGGGCUGCCCUACACUGAGUGAGGACUGAGCGGGCCGGAGAGGAUCUGGCAAGCUGCUUUUACCAAAUGCCCCUGAGGAUGCUGAUGCUGGGUUUCCAGGACCUCACCCUGAGAGGAGCCAUUAUCACCCCAUCAAGGACUUUGGCCCUAAGAAAGGAGUUUGGCAUUCCCAGGCCUAUUCUUGCAGGAGCUGAAUCUCUGCCCUGGCUAAGGAAUGAUUACAAUGUAAGACAAACUUCUCUGCUGACAAAAGGAAAAGAGAGAUCAAGGGCAUAUGGGAUGAGCAGCUCAUGCUUGAGAAGACAACAAAAAAUUAAAGAAUAACAUUGUGCUAUUCUUCAGGGGGCAGGUUUUUGUUUUUUUUCCUUUGAGGAAGAUUAGCCCUGAGCUGACUGCUGCCAAUUCUCCUCUUUUUGCUGAGGAAAACAGGCCCUGAGCUAACAUCCGUGCCCAUCUUCCUCUACUUUAAACUGGCCCUGAGCUAGCAUCCGUGCCCAUCUUCUACUUUAUAUGUGGGACACCUGCCACGGCAUGGCUUGCCAAGCGGUGCCAAGUCUGAACCUGGGAUCUGAACCGGCAAACCCCCGGCCACCAAAGCGGACCGUGUGCACUUAACCACUGUGCCACCGGGCUGGCCCCCAGGGGGCAGGUUUUGAGGGUAUGGACUAUGAAAGGUAAAGGUAUAAACCAGGGCUUUGGGGAAGUUCAAAUUCUAUAGGCUUUCUUCAUUUUUCCCUGAAAAGAAACGGCUCUCACUGCCCCCAAGGAUAAAGUUCAAAGUUCUUAACAACGCUUAAAGGGCAGAAUGAGCUGUUGUGCUCUCUUGACACCUGGCUUUGAGACAUGCUGUUCCCUCUGCCUGGAAUGCUGUCUCUUCCCUUCCCCUCCUUUGCUUAAUGAGCUUCUACUCAUCCUUUGGGUCCUGGCAUUGAUGACACUUCCUCUGUGAAGUCUUCCCUGAUCACCAAAUCUGGCUUAGGUGCCCCCUCCUCAGUGCUCUGUUCGCUCUCUGUAAUAUGUCAUGAUCCUACCCUCAUACUGUAUUUUGUGUCUGAUUCUCUCACUAGACUGUGAGUUUCUUGAAGGAAAGACUAUGUCUGUAUUGUUCUCUGUUAUAUUCUCAGCAUCAGGCACACAGUAACAAUUCACUGAAUGAAUAAAUGAAUGAAGGAAGGUGUAAUGAAAUAGAAACAAAGCCACCAUGUGCAGUAAUCAUUUUGACCGCUAGAUGGCAUGCCACCAUGACAACCCAAUUGGGAUGGGCUGGGAUUUGGGGUAAGACUGAAGGAUGAGCAGGUGGAUGGGGUGAAGCAAGACUUCCGAGUGGGCUUCCAGUCAUCUCCAGACCAACAGCUGGAGGCCUUUGCGAGCCCCACUUUUGCAUGUCUGGAAAUCUUUGCUCGGGUAACUGCCUUACUCCCCACUUCCGUCAGGGGUUACAUCUUCAUGCUACAGAUCAAGUGCUUUUUCAACUUCUCUAAGCUCUCUUCGGUUGCUUACCAAAGAGUUGUUUUUUGUUAUUGUUAUUGUUGUUGCUAUUGAUUGCUUGAAAAUGUUCUAUAAAUUCCUUUGUUAAAAUUCCCCUUUAGAGAAGAAGGUGAAGCUUGUCACUUUUAGGAUCUGAGUCUCUACUGGGUCCAAUCUUCC